rnacentral:rRNA from 1 species
UACGUAGGGUGCGAGCGUUGUCCGGAAUUAUUGGGCGUAAAGAGCUCGUAGGCGGUCUGUCGCGUCGAUCGUGAAAACUUGGGGCUUAACCCUGAGCUUGCGGUCGAUACGGGCAUGACUGGAGUUCGGCAGGGGAGACUGGAAUUCCUGGUGUAGCGGUGAAAUGCGCAGAUAUCAGGAGGAACACCGGGGGCGAAGGCGGGUCUCUGGGCCGAUACUGACGCUGAGGAGCGAAAGCGUGGGGAGCAAACAGG